UAAUACGUAGGGUGCGAGCGUUAAUCGGAAUUACUGGGCGUAAAGCGUGCGCAGGCGGUUUUGUAAGACAGAUGUGAAAUCCCCGGGCUUAACCUGGGAACUGCGUUUGUGACUGCAAGACUCGAGUACGGCAGAGGGGGGUGGAAUUCCACGUGUAGCAGUGAAAUGCGUAGAGAUGUGGAGGAACACCGAUGGCGAAGGCAGCCCCCUGGGUCGAUACUGACGCUCAUGCACGAAAGCGUGGGGAGCAAACAGGAUUAGAUACCCUGGUAGUCCACGCCCUAAACGAUGCCAACUAGGUGUUGGGGAAGGAGACUUCCUUAGUACCGUAGCUAACGCGUGAAGUUGGCCGCCUGGGGAGUACGGUCGCAAGAUUA
rnacentral:rRNA from 1 species